rnacentral:piRNA from 1 species
UGGGAGGACCUCGUUCACUGUGAGCAGU